ACUGGUACAUGGACACGGACCAGANUCCUACGGGAGGCAGCAGUGAGGAAUAUUGGACAAUGGGUGCAAGCCUGAUCCAGCCAUCCCGCGUGAAGGACGACGGCCCUAUGGGUUGUAAACUUCUUUUGUAUAGGGAUAAACCUAGAUACGUGUAUCUAGCUGAAGGUACUAUACGAAUAAGCACCGGCAUGCUCCGUGCCAGCAGCCGCGGUAAUACGGAGGGUGCAAGCGUUAUCCGGAUUUAUUGGGUUAUGAGGGUCCGUAGGCGGAUUUGUAAGUCAGUGGUGAAAUCUCACAGCUUAACUGUGAAACUGCCAUUGAUACUGCAAGUCUUGAGUGUUGUUGAAGUAGCUGGAAUAAGUAGUGUAGCGGUGAAAUGCAUAGAUAUUACUAUGAACACCAAUUGCGAAGGCAGGUUACUAAGCAACAACAUGCGCAUGUGGACGAAAGCGUGGGGAGCGAACAGGAUUAGAUACCCUGGUAGUCCACGCCGUAAACGAUGCAUGCUCGUUUUUGGGCUUUCGGGUUCAGAGACUAAGCGAAAGAUGAUGGUUAGCCACCUGGGGAGUACGAACGCAAGUUUGAAACUCAAAGGAAUUGACGGGGGCCCGCACAAGCGGUGGAUUAUGUGGUUUAAUUCGAUGAUACGCGAGGAACCUUACCAAGGCUUAAAUGGGAAAAUGCAGGCUAUGAAAAUGGCUUUUCUUCGGACAUUUUUCAAGGUGCUGCAUGGUUGUCGUCAGCUCGUGCCGAUGGGUGUUAGGUUAAGUCCUGCAACGAGCGCAACCCCUGUCACUAGUUGCCAUCAUAUGGUUGGGGACUCUAGUGAGACUGCCUACGCAAGUAGAGAGGAAGGUGGGGAUGACGUCAAAUCAUCACGGCCCUUACGCCUUGGGCCACACACGAUGUACAAUGGCCGGUACAGAGGGCAGCUACACUGCGAAGUGAUGCAAAUCUCGAAAGCCGGUCUCAGUUCGGAUUGGAGUCUGCAACUCGACUCUAUGAAGCUGGAAUCGCUAGUAAUCGCGCAUCAGCCAUGGCGCGGUGAAUACGUUCCCGGGCCUUGUACACACCGCCCGUCAAGCCAUGGAAGUCUGGGGUACCNGAAG
rnacentral:rRNA from 1 species